rnacentral:rRNA from 1 species
AGUGAACGCUGGCGGUAGGCCUAACACAUGCAAGUCGAACGGCAGCACAGUAAGAGCUUGCUCUUACGGGUGGCGAGUGGCGGACGGGUGAGGAAUACAUCGGAAUCUACUUUUUCGUGGGGGAUAACGUAGGGAAACUUACGCUAAUACCGCAUACGACCUACGGGUGAAAGCAGGGGAUCUUCGGACCUUGCCCGAUUGAAUGAGCCGAUGUCGGAUUAGCUAGUUGGCAGGGUAAAGGCCCACCAAGGCGACGAUACGUAGCUGGUCUGAGAGGAUGAUCAGCCACACUGGAACUGAGACACGGUCCAGACUCCUACGGGAGGCAGCAGUGGGGAAUAUUGGACAAAGGGCGCAAGCCUGAUCCAGCCAUACCGCGUGGGUGAAGAAGGCCUUCGGGUUGUAAAGCCCUUUUGUUGGGAAAGAAAAGCAGCAGGUUAAUACCCCGCUGUUCUGACGGUACCCAAAGAAUAAGCACCGGCUAACUUCGUG